rnacentral:rRNA from 1 species
CAGGCUGCAACCCGCCUGCGUGAAGUUGGAAUCGCUAGUAAUCGCGGAUCAGCAUGCCGCGGUGAAUACGGUUCCCGGGCCUUGUACACACCGCCCGUCACACCAUGAGAGUCGGGAACACCCGAAGUCCGUAGCCUAACCGCGAAGGGGGGCGCGGCCGAAGGUGGGUUCGAUAAUUGGGGUGAAGUCGUAACAAGGUACC